rnacentral:rRNA from 1 species
CCUACGGGAGGCUGCAGUGGGGAAUAUUGCACAAUGGGCGCAAGCCUGAUGCAGCCAUGCCGCGUGUGUGAAGAAGGCCUUCGGGUUGUAAAGCACUUUCAGCGGGGAGGAAGGCGUUAAGGUUAAUAACCUUGUCGAUUGACGUUACCCGCAGAGGAAGCACCGGCUAACUCCGUGCCAGCAGCCGCGGUAAUACGGAGGGUGCAAGCGUUAAUCGGAAUUACUGGGCGUAAAGCGCACGCAGGCGGUCUGUCAAGUCGGAUGUGAAAUCCCCGGGCUCAACCUGGGAACUGCAUUCGAAACUGGCAGGCUAGAGUCUUGUAGAGGGGGGUAGAAUUCCAGGUGUAGCGGUGAAAUGCGUAGAGAUCUGGAGGAAUACCGGUGGCGAAGGCGGCCCCCUGGACAAAGACUGACGCUCAGGUGCGAAAGCGUGGGGAGCAAACAGGAUUAGAUACCCUUGUAGUC